GAGUUUGAUCCUGGCUCAGAUUGAACGCUGGCGGCAUGCCUUACACAUGCAAGUCGAACGGCAGCACGGGAGCUUGCUCCUGGUGGCGAGUGGCGAACGGGUGAGUAAUGCAUCGGAACGUAUCCUGGAGUGGGGGAUAACGUAGCGAAAGUUACGCUAAUACCGCAUAUUCUGUGAGCAGGAAAGCGGGGGACCUUCGGGCCUCGCGCUCUUGGAGCGGCCGAUGUCGGAUUAGCUAGUUGGUGAGGUAAAGGCUCACCAAGGCGACGAUCCGUAGCAGGUCUGAGAGGAUGAUCUGCACACUGGAACUGAGACACGGUCCAGACUCCUACGGAGGCAGCAGUGGGAAUUUUGGACAAUGGGGCAACCCUGAUCCAGCCAUGCCGCGUGAGUGAAGAAGGCCU
rnacentral:rRNA from 1 species